rnacentral:misc_RNA from 1 species
GAUGAAGAACGUAGCGAAAUGCGAUAAGUAGUGUGAAUUGCAGAAUUCAGUGAAUCAUCGAAUCUUUGAACGCACAUUGCGCCCCUUGGUAUUCCAUGGGGCAUGCCUGUUCGAGCGUCAUUUGUACCUUCAAGCCUUGCUUGGUGUUGGGUGUUUGUCUCGCCUCUGCGCGCAGACUCGCCUCAAAACAAUUGGCAGCCGGCGUAUUGAUUUCGGAGCGCAGUACAUCUCGCGCUUUGCACUCAGAACGACGACGUCCAAAAGUACAUUUUUACACUCUUGACCUCGGAUCAGGUAGGGAUACCCGCUGAACUUAAGCAAAUCAAUAAGCGGAGGA